AGACAAUUAAUUUCUUUCUGCCAUCCACUGCUUUUCAGGCCGUGCAUUGGUCAAAAAGCUACUUUAUCCUGAUUUCCUGGAGGUCUGUUGUUUUUGUCUCCUAAAUGCUGCACCAACUACCAAAGCAAACCAGUUUCCCCCAGGCUUGUGUCCAUCCUCAUCAGUUCAGAGCACAAGCAGCGCUUCAUCCAAGCUGGCCCUGGCACAGGAAGCGCAGGGACCACUCCAUCAAUCUGUUACUGAGGAGCAGCUAGCAAGACUACAGCCCCACUGCUGCUCAGGUGGAAGAGCCUGGCAACAUCAGGUGUAAAGGAAAGGAUUUUUUCUCUCUCUCUUCAAGGAAAAAUCCAUGCCUGAUUGCUCAUGAG
rnacentral:lncRNA from 1 species